rnacentral:piRNA from 1 species
UGGCCCAGAGGAAGGGUUAGAUGUGGGUGU